CCUACGGGUGGCAGCAGUGAGGAAUAUUGGUCAAUGGACGAGAGUCUGAACCAGCCAAGUAGCGUGAAGGAUGACUGCCCUACGGGUUGUAAACUUCUUUUAUAUGGGAAUAAAACGUUCCACGUGUGGGAUUUUGUAUGUACCAUAUGAAUAAGGAUCGGCUAACUCCGUGCCAGCAGCCGCGGUAAUACGGAGGAUCCGAGCGUUAUCCGGAUUUAUUGGGUUUAAAGGGAGCGUAGGUGGAUUGUUAAGUCAGUUGUGAAAGUUUGCGGCUCAACCGUAACAUUGCAGUUGAAACUGGCAGUCUUGAGUACAGUAGAGGUGGGCGGAAUUCGUGGUGUAGCGGUGAAAUGCUUAGAUAUCACGAAGAACUCCGAUUGCGAAGGCAGUUCACUGGACUGCAACUGACACUGAGGCUCGAAAGUGUGGGUAUCAAACAGGAUUAGAUACCCGUGUAGUC
rnacentral:rRNA from 1 species